rnacentral:lncRNA from 12 species
CGGAGAGGUGGUUUGGGGACCGAGCGGGACAGGGGCGUCCCACUGCCCGAUCCCACCCCGGCGCUUUGCAUAAAUAAAUAAAUCAUGCAGCGAGGGAGAGGUGGAGAGAGAGGGCGAGCAGAGGAGGUUACUUUGGGAAGCCGCGCAGCUCGCUCAUCCCAGCCCCGUAGUUCGGAGGGAGUGUGUCAUGUUACAGGGGAGCCACGAUCAGCCAGAGCACAGCGUCGCCGGAGCAGCUGAGAAUUACCUCUCUCUAAUGGGGACUUUCAUGUGCGAGCUCCUGGCCAGCCUGCGAAGGAACUGAAACUGACAGCUUAGAAAGAAUCAAAAACCUACCAGCGAACCAAAAGACUGAAAUACAGGAGGGAAAAAAAAAAAAUCAAUCUCGAUCAGAUUAUUUUUUUCCCCCUCGCACUCUUUGCUCCAGUUGGAUCCCUUUUUUCUGCACCCCUUUUAUGUGACAGGGAGGGAAUGUUGGAGGAGAAGAGCUGGAAAGGCGUCGACGAAGCAGCUUUUGACAGGGGGUGUGUGGCUCCCCCCAGGAGCGGCGAUGGGGAGAGAUGCUGCCGCCUCCCCCUGCUGCUGGGCUCGGGGCUGCCCGGCGUCUCCCUGCUCUCUCUGGUGCUCAGCCUCCUGCUGUACUUUCGGACCUCCGACCUGCAGUCCCGCGUGUCCCACUUGGAAGCGGGCAGACCCGCACAGCUCCCUGCCUGGCUCUCAGCAGACCAAAUGGAGACGGCUAUUUUGGGAAGAGUUGACCAACUGCUCAAUGAGAAAUUGAAGUUCCACUUGCCAAGACAUCGAGAAGUUCGAGACACGCACCAGCGCUGCAACUGCCCGGCAGGUAGGGAUCUGGGACAGCUGCCACUUUGGGAGGUGACAAAAACUCUUCUGCCUGCACCUCGUUGAAG